GACGAACGCUGGCGGCGUGCUUAACACAUGCAAGUCGAACGGAUAGGCCCUGCUUUUGUGGGGUGCUCGAGUGGCGAACGGGUGAGUAACACGUGAGUAACCUGCCCUUGACUUUGGGAUAACUUCAGGAAACUGGGGCUAAUACCGGAUAGGAGCUCCUGCUGCAUGGUGGGGGUUGGAAAGUUUCGGCGGUUGGGGAUGGACUCGCGGCUUAUCAGCUUGUUGGUGGGGUAGUGGCUUACCAAGGCUUUGACGGGUAGCCGGCCUGAGAGGGUGACCGGCCACAUUGGGACUGAGAUACGGCCCAGACUCCUACGGGAGGCAGCAGUGGGGAAUAUUGCACAAUGGGCGGAAGCCUGAUGCAGCAACGCCGCGUGCGGGAUGACGGCCUUCGGGUUGUAAACCGCCUUCGCCUGUGACGAAGCGUGAGUGACGGUAAUGGGUAAAGAAGCACCGGCUAACUACGUG
rnacentral:rRNA from 1 species